GUCCAGAGACCCACCAUCCUUGAACACAUCUGAUCUUGUCUGAUCCCGGAAGCUACGCAGGGUCAGGCCUGGUUAGUAUUUGGGUAUACCAGGUGCUGUAGGCU
rnacentral:rRNA from 10 species